rnacentral:rRNA from 1 species
GACGAACGCUGGCGGCGUGCCUAAUACAUGCAAGUUGAGCGCCGAAGGUUGGUACUUGUACCAACUGGAUGAGCAGCGAACGGGUGAGUAACGCGUGGGGAAUCUGCCUUUGAGCGGGGGACAACAUUUGGAAACGAAUGCUAAUACCGCAUAAAAACUUUAAACACAAGUUUUAAGUUUGAAAGAUGCAAUUGCAUCACUCAAAGAUGAUCCCGCGUUGUAUUAGCUAGUUGGUGAGGUAAAGGCUCACCAAGGCGAUGAUACAUAGCCGACCUGAGAGGGUGAUCUGCCACAUUGGGACUGAGACACGGCCCAAACUCUUACGGGAGGCAGCAGUAGGGAAUCUUCGGCAAUGGACGAAAGUCUGACCGAGCAACGCCGCGUGAGUGAAGAAGGUUUUCGGAUCGUAAAACUCUGUUGGUAGAGAAGAGCGUUGGUGAGAGUGGAAAGCUCAUCAAGUGACGGUAACUACCCAGAAAGGGACGGCUGACUACGUG